GGGCGCUGGGGUAAAACAUCCACUCCAGUUCGAUUGCCGGGCACCGAAGCAGCCAUCGGGAGAAGAUGCGCGUGUGGAGGGACACACGGACACACGCGGAGCGGACGGGGCGAGGUGGAGGGAGCAGCACGUGGGGAAUGGGCGGCAGCUCAGCUCGGGGUCCUGCAGGGCCUCCCCUCAUCCCCGCCUUCCUCACGGUUUUUCAGGUUUUUCAGGUGAAUAUUACUGUCUACUCUACAGUUGUCCAGUCUGUGAAUGGAAUGAGGAUUUUACUGAGCAGCAGUGAAGUCCUGAAGUCUGGGAACCCCACAAAUCCAAGCCAGGAGAAUGUGGAAAUUCACAUUUUAAUGUGGAUUUUAAUGGAAUAACUGCAAAUGCAGGGGUUUUCUGGAGCACAAGAAAAGGCAAUUAAUGGCAGCCCCAGGAUUGGAUCAGAUUCAUCAUCAAUGUGGAAAUUCACAUUUUUAACGUGGAUUUUAAUGGAAUAACUGCAAAUGCAGGGUUUUCUGGAGCAGCAGUGUCAGAUUCAUCAUUCCUGCCUUUGUUUGGGAACCCCUCAAAUCCAAGCCAGGAGAAUGUGGAAAUUCACAUUUUAAUGUGGAUUUUAAUGGAAUAACUGGAAAAUGCAGGAGUUUUCUGGAGCACAAGCAAAGGCAAUUAAUGGCAGCCUCAGGAUUGGAGUCAGAUUCAUCAUUCCUGCCUUCAUCAGGGAAUUCCACAAAUCCAAGCCAGGAGAAUGUGGAAAUUCAUAUUUUAAUGUGGAUUUUAAUGGAAUAACUGCAAAUGCAGGGGUUUUCUGGAGCACAAUAAAAGGCAAUUAAUGGCAGCCCCAGGAUUGGAGUCAGAUUCAUCAUCAAUGUGGAAAUUCACAUUUUAAUGUGGAUUUUAAUGGAAUAACUGCAAAUGCAGGGUUUUCUGGAGCAGCAAGCAAAAGCAAUUAAUGGCAGCCCCAGGAUUGGAGUCAGAUUCAUCAUUCCUGCCUUUGUUUGGGAACCCCACAAAUCCAAGCCAGGAGAAUGUGGAAAUUCACAUUUUAACGUGGAUUUUAAUGGAAUAACUGCAAAUGCAGGGGUUUUCUGGAGCAGCAAGCAAAGGCAAUUAAUGGCAGCCCCAGGAUUGGAGUCAGAUUCAUCAUCAGAUCCAUUUGAUUGGAGUCAGAUUGGA